rnacentral:rRNA from 1 species
UACAGAGGUCUCAAGCGUUGUUCGGAUUCAUUGGGCGUAAAGGGUGUCGUAGGUGGCGCCGUAAGUCGAGUGUGAAAUUUCGGAGCUUAACUCCGAAACUGCAUUUGAUACUGCGGUGCUUGAGGACUGGAGAGGAGACUGGAAUUCAUGGUGUAGCAGUGAAAUGCGUAGAGAUCGUAAGGAAGACCAGUGGCGAAGGCGGGUCUCUGGACAGUUCCUGACACUGAGGCACGAAGGCCAGGGGAGCAAACGGG